GAUGAACGCUGGCGGCGUGCCUAAUACAUGCAAGUCGAGCGAACGGACGAGAAGCUUGCUUCUCUGAUGUUAGCCGCGGACGGGUGAGUAACACGUGGAUAACCUACCUAUAAGACUGGGAUAACUUCGGGAAACCGUAGCUAAUACCGGAUAAUAUUUUGAACUUCAUUGUUCAAAAGUGAAAGACGGUCUUGCUGUCACUUAUAGAUGCAACCCCGCGGCAUUAUCUAGUUGGUAAGGUAACGGGUUACCAAGGCAACGAUGCAUAGCCAACCGGAGAGGGGGAGCGGCCACACUGGAACUGAACCACGGUCCAGACUCCUACGGGAGGCAGCAGUAGGGAAUCUUGCGCAAUGGGCGAAAGCCGGACGGAGCAACGCCGCGUGAGUGAUGAAGGUCUUCGGAUCGUAAACCUCUGUUAUUAGGGAAGAACAUAUGUGUAAGUAACUGUGCACAUCUUGACGGUACCUAAUCAGAAAGCCACGGCUAACUACGUG
rnacentral:rRNA from 1 species